rnacentral:rRNA from 1 species
AGGAGGAGCUUGCUUCUCUGGAUGAGUUGCGAACGGGUGAGUAACGCGUAGGUAACCUGCCUGGUAGCGGGGGAUAACUAUUGGAAACGAUAGCUAAUACCGCAUAAUAGUAGAUGUUGCAUGACAUUUGCUUAAAAGGUGCAAUUGCAUCACUACCAGAUGGACCUGCGUUGUAUUAGCUAGUUGGUGAGGUAACGGCUCACCAAGGCGACGAUACAUAGCCGACCUGAGAGGGUGAUCGGCCACACUGGGACUGAGACACGGCCCAGACUCCUACGGGAGGCAGCAGUAGGGAAUCUUCGGCAAUGGACGGAAGUCUGACCGAGCAACGCCGCGUGAGUGAAGAAGGUUUUCGGAUCGUAAAGCUCUGUUGUAAGAGAAGAACGAGUGUGAGAGUGGAAAGUUCACACUGUGACGGUAUCUUACCAGAAAGGGACGGCUAACUACGUGCCAGCAGCCGCGGUAAUACGUAGGUCCCGAGCGUUGUCCGGAUUUAUUGGGCGUAAAGCGAGCGCAGGCGGUUAGAUAAGUCUGAAGUUAAAGGCUGUGGCUUAACCAUAGUACGCUUUGGAAACUGUUUAACUUGAGUGCAAGAGGGGAGAGUGGAAUUCCAUGUGUAGCGGUGAAAUGCGUAGAUAUAUGGAGGAACACCGGUGGCGAAAGCGGCUCUCUGGCUUGUAACUGACGCUGAGGCUCGAAAGCGUGGGGAGCAAACAGGAUUAGAUACCCCUGGUAGUCCACGCCGUAAACGAUGAGUGCUAGGUGUUAGACCCUUUCCGGGGUUUAGUGCCGCAGCUAACGCAUUAAGCACUCCGCCCUGGGGAGUACGACCCGCAAGGUUGAAACUCAAAGGAAUUGACGGGG